GACGAACGCUGGCGGCGUGCUUAACACAUGCAAGUCGAACGGUAAGGCCCUUCGGGGUACACGAGUGGCGAACGGGUGAGUAACACGUGGGUGAUCUGCCCUGCACUUCGGGAUAAGCCUGGGAAACUGGGUCUAAUACCGGAUAGGACCACUGCCUGCAUGGGUGGUGGUGGAAAGCUUUUUCGGUGUGGGAUGGGCCCGCGGCCUAUCAGCUUGUUGGUGGGGUGAUAGCCUACCGCGGCGACGACGGGUAGCCGGCCUGAGAGGGUGACCGGCCACACUGGGACUGAGAUACGGCCCAGACUCCUACGGGAGGCAGCAGUGGGGAAUAUUGCACAAUGGGCGCAAGCCUGAUGCAGCGACGCCGCGUGAGGGAUGACGGCCUUCGGGUUGUAAACCUCUUUCAGCACCGACGAAGCGCAAGUGACGGUAGGUGCAGAGGAAGGACCGGCCAACUACGUGCCAGCAGCCGCGGUAAAAC
rnacentral:rRNA from 1 species